rnacentral:rRNA from 1 species
UGGGGAAUAUUGCACAAUGGAGGGAACUCUGAUGCAGCGACGCCGCGUGAACGAAGAAGGCUUUCGAGUCGUAAAGUUCUUUUAUAUGGGAAGAUAAUGACGGUACCAUAAGAAGAAGCCCCGGCUAACUACGUGCCAGCAGCCACGGUAAUACGUAGGGGGCUAGCGUUGUCCGGAAUCACUGGGAGUAAAGGGUUCGCAGGCGGAAAUGCAAGUCAGGUGUAAAAGGCAGUAGCUUAACUACUGUAAGCAUUUGAAACUGCAUAUCUUGAGAAGAGUAGAGGUAAGUGGAAUUUUUAGUGUAGCGGUGAAAUGCGUAGAUAUUAAAAAGAAUACCGGUGGCGAAGGCGACUUACUGGGCUCAUUCUGACGCUGAGGAACGAAAGCGUGGGUAGCAAACAGG